rnacentral:rRNA from 1 species
UUAGUGCUCGCACUAAAUGAAACUAGAUACAAGCGAGCGGCGGACGGGUGAGUAACACGUGGGUAACCUGCCCAAGAGACUGGGAUAACACCUGGAAACAGAUGCUAAUACCGGAUAACAACACUAGACGCAUGUCUAGAGUUUGAAAGAUGGUUCUGCUAUCACUCUUGGAUGGACCUGCGGUGCAUUAGCUAGUUGGUAAGGUAACGGCUUACCAAGGCAAUGAUGCAUAGCCGAGUUGAGAGACUGAUCGGCCACAUUGGGACUGAGACACGGCCCAAACUCCUACGGGAGGCAGCAGUAGGGAGUCUUCCACAAUGGACGAAAGUCUGAUGGAGCAACGCCGCGUGAGUGAAGAAGGGUUUCGGCUCGUAAAGCUCUGUUGGUAGUGAAGAAAGAUAGAGGUAGUAACUGGCCUUUAUUUGACGGUAAUUACUUAGAAAGUCACAGCUAACUACGUGCCAGCAGCCGCGGUAAUACGUAGGUGGCAAGCGUUGUCCGGAUUUAUUGGGCGUAAAGCGAGUGCAGGCGGUUCAAUAAGUCUGACGUGAAAGCCUUCGGCUCAACCGGAGAAUUGCAUCAGAAACUGUUGAACUUGAGUGCAGAAGAGGAGAGUGGAACUCCAUGUGUAGCGGUGGAAUGCGUAGAUAUAUGGAAGAACACCAGUGGCGAAGGCGGCUCUCUGGUCUGCAACUGACGCUGAGGCUCGAAAGCAUGGGU